rnacentral:rRNA from 1 species
CCAAUAGCGUAUAUUAAAUUUGUUGCAGUUAAAAAGCUCGUAGUUGAAUUUCGGAAUCGACGGAUUGGUCGCGCCUUCGGUGUGUACUGGUCUUGCCGGUUUCUCCCUUCUGACGAACCACGAUGUCAUUAAUUUGGUGUCGUGGGGAAUCAGGACUGUUACUUUGAAAAAAUUAGAGUGUUUAAAGCAAGCAUUAGCUUGAAUACAUUAGCAUGGAAUAAUGAAAUAGGACGUUUGAUCUUAUUUUGUUGGUUUCUAGGAUCGACGUAAUGAUUAAUAGGGAUAGUUGGGGGCAUUAGUAUUCAAUUGUCAGAGGUGAAAUUCUUGGAUUUAUUGAAGACUAACUACUGCGAAAGCAUUUGCCAAGGAUGUUUUCAUUAAUCAAGAACGAAAGUUAGGGGAUCGAAGACGAUCAGAUACCGUCGUAGUCUUAACCAUAAACUAUGCCGACUAGGGAUCGGAUGAUGUUAAUUUUUUAAUGACUCAUUCGGCGCCUUACG